AACGGGUGAGUAACACGUGGGCAACCUGCCCAAAAGAGCCCGAUAACACUUGGAAACAGGUGCUAAUACCGCAUAACCAUAGUUACCGCAUGGUAACUAUGUAAAAGGUGGCUAUGCUACCGCUUUUGGAUGGGCCCGCGGCGCAUUAGCUAGUUGGUGGGGUAAAGGCUUACCAAGGCAAUGAUGCGUAGCCGAACUGAGAGGUUGAUCGGCCACAUUGGGACUGAGACACGGCCCAAACUCCUACGGGAGGCAGCAGUAGGGAAUCUUCCACAAUGGGCGAAAGCCUGAUGGAGCAACGCCGCGUGGGUGAAGAAGGUCUUCGGAUCGUAAAACCCUGUUGUUAGAGAAGAAAGUGCGUGAGAGUAACUGUUCACGUUUCGACGGUAUCUAACCAGAAAGCCGCGGCUAACUACGUGCCAGCAGCCGCGGUAAUACGUAGGUGGCAAGCGUUAUCCGGAUUUAUUGGGCGUAAAGGGAACGCAGGCGGUCUUUUAAGUCUGAUGUGAAAGCCUUCGGCUUAACCGGAGUAGUGCAUUGGAAACUGGGAGACUUGAGUGCAGAAGAGGAGAGUGGAACUCCAUGUGUAGCGGUGAAAUGCGUAGAUAUAUGGAAGAACACCAGUGGCGAAAGCGGCUCUCUGGUCUGUAACUGA
rnacentral:rRNA from 1 species